UACGUAGGGUGCGAGCGUUGUCCGGAAUUAUUGGGCGUAAAGGGCUCGUAGGCGGUUUGUCGCGUCGGGAGUGAAAACCUACAGCUUAACUGUGGGCUUGCUUUCGAUACGGGCAGACUAGAGGUAUGCAGGGGAGAACGGAAUUCCUGGUGUAGCGGUGAAAUGCGCAGAUAUCAGGAGGAACACCGGUGGCGAAGGCGGUUCUCUGGGCCUUUCCUGACGCUGAGACGCGAAAGCGUGGGGAGCGAACCGG
rnacentral:rRNA from 1 species